GCGGGGGUGGCCGAGGCCCUUAAAGGGCGGGAUUCAGGUCAAAGGCGGCAGGUUCAGGACCUGCUGGCGUAGGCCUGCGUGGGUUCAAAUCCCACCCCCCGCACCA
rnacentral:tRNA from 1 species